CAUUUCAGGUAGUGCAACGUGAGACACAUCAUUUGGUGCUCCUGACACUGAGGUCUCACAACUGUGAAGGGGUGUCAUGUUCCCUGGUCUACCCAUCACUCAGGACAUCAAAUCCUGGGGCUCUCUUCACAAACAGACCUUGUAGAUUUCCGUGAUUCUGACAACUGUGUUGCAGCAGAUAGCAGCUGGUGGCUUUUCUAAUGCAUUGCAAAGGCAGUUCGGGCUGGUUGUGGAACAGAAAGUGCUGUGUGGGCCGGAUGACUGUUCUAGCCACGCGCUGUGGAGGGUGAGGUGCCUGCUACUCCCAUACUGUCACAUGUUGGUGUCAAGCCUGCAGGGCAGAGGCUAUGGAGCACCUGCCUCUACUGAGCGUGGCCUGGCGGCAUCACCUGCUGAGCUGUCUGUACCAAGGCAGCUGAAGCCUACACAGAAACCUCCUUGUGCAACUCUCCACGUGAACCAGUCACUGGAACUGCGGUGCCCUGGGCGAGAGAUUAACGAGAUUUCACCAGCAGGGACACCAAACCCCACUUGUAGGGCUGUGAGAGGAUUGAACCAGAAAAUAGCCAGGCCCUGGCACAGAGCUCCAUGUGUGAAGUCUGCUGAAUCCGCCAUGCAACUGAAUCCACAGGCAAUUCUCCAGAAAGGGUGCCAGAAAAAUGCUCAACACCUAGGGCUUAAGUCAAAGAUACAACAAAUGAGGCUGGAAGGGAACAUCCAUAGCUUGCAUUAUUCAUCCAGUGGGCUUGGAUCCUUACAACACCCCACCAAGUCCUUGUUGUGACUUUAUUUGAAUGCUAGUGAGCUUAUCAUUGCUCCUUUCCCUCUCCCUUUCUUUUAAAAAAUUCUUUCUUAGCUAUUUAUUAGACACUUACUACCUGCCAGGCAGAGUUAGGCACAAGGGAUAUCAUGGCAAGAGAAACAGAAGUGUAUCUAUCCACAGGCACAUUUGGAGGGAAGGUUAAUGUUGUGGGACUUUUCCUUAGUUCAGCUAAAGGCAGGGUCCUUGUCACACAGCUGUGAAAACUUAGGCUUGUAGAUGAGGGGUGAGAAAAAUGGGGUUUAUUGGGCAAAAAGAAAAAAAAGGGAGAGGGAACAGAGACUCUUAGUGAAGCAAGAUGGUGUGCUUCUUGCCCUUCGGCUUCCCGCCUCACAGAUUGAAUCCCAGGUUUAUCCAGAAAGAAGAGGGGCCAGGCUUCUCUCUGCUGCAGACAGGGUGGAACUUCUGUGGCUCCACUCCAGUGCCCGGGCUGGCUGGAGUUUCUCUGGGGACCCUUUCCCACCUGGCUGUCUCAGUAAGGGGUGCAUUGUCUUUGGAAGAGGGAUUGAGUCAACCAAGGUGGGGACAGCUGGACAGCUGAGAUGAGCUGGGUGUGGGUGGGGCAUGGAUGUGAUGCCAGGAUGCAGCAAACCCAGAACUCGAAUCCUCACUCAUGCUGAGGCCCAGC
rnacentral:lncRNA from 13 species